GCGGAGGAAAAGAAACCAACAGGGAUUGCCCUAGUAACGGCGAGUGAAGCGGCAACAGCUCAAAUUUGAAAUCUGGCUCUUUCAGGGUCCGAGUUGUAAUUUGCAGAGGGCGCUUUGGCUUUGGCAGCGGUCCAAGUUCCUUGGAACAGGACGUCACAGAGGGUGAGAAUCCCGUACGUGGUCGCUAGCUAUUGCCGUGUAAAGCCCCUUCGACGAGUCGAGUUGUUUGGGAAUGCAGCUCUAAAUGGGAGGUAAAUUUCUUCUAAAGCUAAAUACUGGCCAGAGACCGAUAGCGCACAAGUAGAGUGAUCGAAAGAUGAAAAGCACUUUGGAAAGAGAGUCAAACAGCACGUGAAAUUGUUGAAAGGGAAGCGCUUGCAGCCAGACUUGCUUGCAGUUGCUCAUCCGGACUUUUGUCCGGUGCACUCUUCUGCAGGCAGGCCAGCAUCAGUUUGGGCGGUGGGAUAAAGGUCUCUGUCACGUACCUCUCUUCGGGGAGGCCUUAUAGGGGAGACGACAUACCACCAGCCUGGACUGAGGUCCGCGCAUUUGCUAGGAUGCUGGCGUAAUGGCUGUAAGCGGCCCGUCUUGAAACACGGACCAAGGAGUCUAACAUCUAUGCGAGUGUUUGGGUGUCAAGCCCGAACGCGUAAUGAAAGUGAACGGAGGUGGGAACCCGCAAGGGUGCACCAUCGACCGAUCCUGAUGUCUUCGGAAGGAUUUGAGUAAGAGCAUGGCUGUUGGGACCCGAAAGAUGGUGAACUAUGCUUGAAUAGGGUGAAGCCAGAGGAAACUCUGGUGGAGGCUCGCAGCGGUUCUGACGUGCAAAUCGAUCGUCAAA
rnacentral:sRNA from 1 species